rnacentral:rRNA from 1 species
GGACGAACGCUGGCGGCGUGCCUAAUACAUGCAAGUUGAGCGAUGAAGAUUGGUGCUUGCACCAAUUUGAAGAGCAGCGAACGGGUGAGUAACGCGUGGGGAAUCUGCCUUUGAGCGGGGGACAACAUUUGGAAACGAAUGCUAAUACCGCAUAACAACUUUAAACAUAAGUUUUAAGUUUAAAAGAUGCAAUUGCAUCACUCAAAGAUGAUCCCGCGUUGUAUUAGCUAGUUGGUGAGGUAAAGGCUCACCAAGGCGAUGAUACAUAGCCGACCUGAGAGGGUGAUCGGCCACAUUGGGACUGAGACACGGCCCAAACUCCUACGGGAGGCAGCAGUAGGGAAUCUUCGGCAAUGGACGAAAGUCUGACCGAGCAACGCCGCGUGAGGGAAGAAGGUUUUCGGAUCGUAAAACUCUGUUGGUAGAGAAGAACGUUGGUGAGAGUGGAAAGCUCAUCAAGUGACGGUAACUACCCAGAAAGGGACGGCUAACUACGUG